rnacentral:rRNA from 1 species
CCAAUAGUGUAUAUUAAAGUUGUUGCAGUUAAAAAGCUCGUAGUUGAAUUUCGGGGUUCUACCGUCGGUCGGGCUACCAAGUCUGUACUGGUGUGUAGAAUUUCUACCUUCUGGGGAACCAUCAUGUUAUUAAUUUGGCGUGGUGGGAAACCAGGACCUUUACCUUGAAAAAAUUAGAGUGUUCAAAGCAGGCUUAUGUCUGAAUACAUUAGCAUGGAAUAAUAGAAUAGGACGGUGGUCCUGUUUUGUUGGUUUCUGAAUCACCGUAAUGAUUAAUAGGGAUAGUUGGGGGCAUUAGUAUUCAAUUGUCAGAGGUGAAAUUCUUGGAUUUAUUGAAGACUAACUUCUGCGAAAGCAUUUGCCAAGGAUGUUUUCAUUAAUCAAGAACGAAAGUUAGGGGAUCGAAGACGAUCAGAUACCGUCGUAGUCUUAACCAUAAACUAUGCCGACUAGGGAUCGGACGAUGUUAAAUUUUAUUGACUCGUUCGGCGCCUUACG